CAGAGGGGCAAGCGUUGUUCGGAAUUACUGGGCGUAAAGGGCGCGUAGGCGGCCUGCUAAGUCGAACGUGAAAUCCCUGGGCUCAACCCAGGAACUGCGUCCGAUACUGGUUGGCUUGAAUCCGGGAGAGGGAUGCGGAAUUCCAGGUGUAGCGGUGAAAUGCGUAGAUAUCUGGAGGAACACCGGUGGCGAAGGCGGCAUCCUGGACCGGCAUUGACGCUGAGGCGCGAAAGCCAGGGGAGCAAACGGGAUUAGAUACCCCGGUAGUCCUGGCCCUAAACGAUGAAUGCUUGGUGUGGCGGGUAUCGAUCCCUGCCGUGCCGAAGCUAACGCAUUAAGCAUUCCGCCUGGGGAGUACGGUCGCAAGGCUG
rnacentral:rRNA from 1 species